GACGAACGCUGGCGGCGUGCUUAACACAUGCAAGUCGAACGGAAAGGCCCUGCUUUUGUGGGGUGCUCGAGUGGCGAAAGGAUGAGUAACAUGUGAGUAACCUGCCCUUGACUUUAGGAUAACUUCAGGAAACUGGUGCUAAUAACGGAUAGGAGCUCCUGCUGCAUGGUGGGGGUUGGAAAGUUUCGGCGGUUGGGGAUGGACUCGCGGCUUAUCAGCUUGUUGGUGGGGUAGUGGCUUACCAAGGCUUUGACGGGUAGCCGGCCUGAGAGGGUGACCGGCCACAUUGGGACUGAGAGACGGCUCAGACUGGUACGGGAGGCAGCAGUUGGGAAUUGUGCACAAGGGGCGGAAACCUGAGGCAGCAACGCCGCGAGGGGGAUGGGGGCCUACGGGUUUUAAAGCGCUGACGCCGGGGAGGUGGCGGGAGUGACGGUAAGGAGUAAAGAAGCACCGGCUAACUACGUG
rnacentral:rRNA from 1 species